AUACGUAGGGGGCGAGCGUUGUCCGGAAUGAUUGGGCGUAAAGGGCGCGUAGGCGGCCCGGUAAGUCUGGAGUGAAAGUCCUGUUUUUAAGAUGGGAAUUGCUUUGGAUACUGUCGGGCUUGAGUGCAGGAGAGGUAAGUGGAAUUCCCAGUGUAGCGGUGAAAUGCGUAGAGAUUGGGAGGAACACCAGUGGCGAAGGCGACUUACUGGACUGUAACUGACGCUGAGGCGCGAAAGUGUGGGGAGCAAACAGGAUUAGAUACCCUGGUAGUCCACACUGUAAACGAUGAAUGCUAGGUGUAGGGGGUAUCGACCCCUUCUGUGCCGCAGUAAACACAAUAAGCAUUCCGCCUGGGGAGUACGGUCGCAAGGUUGAAACUCAAAUGAAUUGACGGG
rnacentral:rRNA from 1 species